CCAAGGGAAUCCUAGUUCUCCAAAUUUCCACAAAAUUGAAGGAGUAAAAGUCUGAAUUUUCGAUGCAUGAGUUAGGAAUCAUGACCCUUUAAGUGUUAUAAGUAUCAAGCACGAAGAAGGAAGAAGGCGCAAGUCACUCGAAGGCACAAGUAUCUCAAGAUCGCGGUAAUCCUCGAUUUAGGCGACUUGGAGAAACGGAGCGAGCACAUGUUCAUGAUAUGUCAUACCAAGCGCUUCCGCUAGUUGCACUAAUGUUUUGGGUCAAAUUUUUUAUUUUGUACAACUUGUUAGUAGACAUAUACUUUAACGCUUGAUGUCUAGGUUUUUAGUCGUGUCUUGUCGAACAAGUCGUAGAAUGGUAUUUGUCUUUCUUAUGUUUAAAACAGGGGUAUAUCCGCUUUACGGACGGGUCAUGCCCAAUUUUUG